CCUACGGGAGGCAGCAGUGAGGAAUAUUGGUCAAUGGACGAGAGUCUGAACCAGCCAAGUAGCAUGAAGGAUGACUGCCCUAUGGGUUGUAAACUUCUUUUAUAUGGGAGUAAAACAGGGUAUGCAUACCCUCUUGUAUGUACCAUAUGAAUAAGGAUCGGCUAACUCCGUGCCAGCAGCCGCGGUAAUACGGAGGAUCCGAGCGUUAUCCGGAUUUAUUGGGUUUAAAGGGAGCGUAGGUGGUUUGUUAAGUCAGUUGUGAAAGUUUGCGGCUCAACCGUAAAAUUGCAGUUGAAACUGGCAGUCGUGAGUACAGUAGAGGUGGGCGGAAUUCGUGGUGUAGCGGUGAAAUGCUUAGAGAUCACGAAGAACUCCGAUUGCGAAGGCAGCUCACUGGACUGCAACUGACACUGAUGCUCGAAAGUGUGGGUAUCAAACAGGAUUAGAUACCCCGGUAGUC
rnacentral:rRNA from 1 species